CCUACGGGCGGCUGCAGUGGGGAAUAUUGGACAAUGGGCGAAAGCCUGAUCCAGCCAUGCCGCGUGUGUGAAGAAGGCCUUCGGGUUGUAAAGCACUUUCAGUGGGGAAGAAAGCCUUGGGGCUAAUACCCUCGAGGAAGGACAUCACCCACAGAAGAAGCACCGGCUAACUCCGUGCCAGCAGCCGCGGUAAUACGGAGGGUGCGAGCGUUAAUCGGAAUUACUGGGCGUAACGCGCGCGUAGGCGGUCUGAUAAGCCGGUUGUGAAAGCCCCGGGCUCAACCUGGGAACGGCAUCCGGAACUGUCAGGCUAGAGUGCAGGAGAGGAAGGUAGAAUUCCCGGUGUAGCGGUGAAAUGCGUAGAGAUCGGGAGGAAUACCAGUGGCGAAGGCGGCCUUCUGGACUGACACUGACGCUGAGGUGCGAAAGCGUGGGUAGCAAACAGGAUUAGAUACCCCAGUAGUC
rnacentral:rRNA from 1 species